UAAAACUUUCACUUUGCUCAUUUUCUAUAGAUCUCGUCUAAUUUUUCUUCUGAAUUAUGGAUGAUUCUUCAAGGGGGUUUUUGGAUUGUUUUUGUGAGUUGAACUCCCGUUUAAUCUAAGAAGAAAAUCUGAAGCAUGAUCGUCACUAAUAUUUGGAGCUGUCGAUAGUGCUCCUCUAGAAAAUGGUCAAAGUCUUGCGAAUUGCUGGAUUUAACGGAUGGAAAUCAACUGCUGAUGUUAAUCAUUUCGAGAACCUCAUGCAAAGCCGAUCGAAAAAAAAAGGAUGUUACAUCUUAGAAACGUCCGGAUGUUAGGAAAAAGACAUAGUAUUAAAAAGAGUGAACCCUUAAGUGACGACAUUGCUUCAAACCUCUACAAUAACUUUUCUGAGACCUCAGAGAGGUUAUGAUCCUGACUCAUGAGACUAUUGCCUCUAUUUAUCAUGGGGCUGUGUGCACAAGAAUUUUGGUGAGAAAGAAUAUUCAACUUAAUGCUGGUACACGUGGAGCACUUUUAAGUUGGCAUUGCAGAAUUAUGGUAGUCGGUCUUACUCUCGAGAGGGAUGGAACUUCAGAAAUAAAAAGCCUAUAGUUUGGUAUUAUUAUGCAGUGGCUUAUUAUCAGUUAUGUAUUACUUUGGAAUUCUGUUUGAAUUAU